UCUCCCUUUCCAUUGUUGCUCCAUCCUGGGAUUGAACACAGGUCACCUGGCUUGCUUGUCAACAUCUUCGCCAGCUCCAGGGUUAAGGGUCUGAUAGAUGCCACAACCGAGGACACCUGGAAGAUGGUAAAUGCACACUUGAGGGUUGUCAGUGUUACUGAUGUCAUCACACUCACUCCAGAGGACACGAAGGUUGACAGAGAUCAGCAACCUACAGGUUAGUAACAGACUGUCACACACACAGCUCUUCAGAGCUUUAUCACCUCCCGAGCACCAUAAACCUAUCGCAUGAAGGCUCAUGUUCUCUCUAGAGUCUAGAACAUCUUUAUUGUUCCUUUUAUAUUUUUAAUUGGGUUCUGAUAGAUUAUAGUGGUUGCUAGACCUAUUCUGUGAGGCAGUCAUUUUGCUACAAUUACAUUCAGUGAUUUAGAAAAGAAAUUUUUUUAAGAAGAGAAAAAUAGGACAAUUGGUUGAUUCUUCUACUUGGUUCCAUAAAGGAAUUAGGAUGAAUAUCCUAAUUAUAUUUAAGAAUCUCAGUUUUAAUUAGCACAUGGUGACCCAUACCUUUAAUAUCAGCACUUGGGAGGCAGAGGCAGGUGGAUCUUUCAGGCAAGACUAUGUAGCAAGUUCCAGGCCAGCUAGGGUUACCUAGUGAGACCUUGUCUUUAAAAAAAAAAAAAAAAAGAAAAAAAUUAAAUUAAAUUUUACAAGUGUACUUUUAAAUUUUUAUCUCUUUAAUCAGUAGGAAAUGAACUGAUUCAGGGCUGGAGAGAUGACUCAGCAGUUAAUGGCACUGGCUAUUCUUCCAGAGGGCCCAGGUUCAAUUCUCAGUACCCACAUGGCAACUCACAGCCAUCUGUAACUCCAGGAUCUGAUACCCUUACAUAGGGUUUAAGUAAAAUGAACUGAUUCAAACCCAGCAUGGUGGCCCACAAUCUCAGCUCUCAGGAGGCUGAGACAAGAGACUUGAAAAGUUACUAUUACACUCUUUCGAAAUAAGCAGCAUCACCAAGAGUGAUCAACAAAAGCUAAUGGCUGGAGGUGAUUGACAGUUGCUCUUCAGGACAGGGGCCUGCAUCCUUUAGGUGACCACAGCCCCUGCCCCCUCUGCACAGUGAACCUGGUUUGUGUCAUUCAUCUGUAGUUUCUCCCUGGACCCUCAGAGCGCCUGUGUUUUUACCCUGACCUAGCCCAAAGCUUUCAGGGCACAGGUGAAAGCUUGGGAGAGCUAGUCUGAAAUGGUGUAGGCUUUUGAAACCUCUUUCACAUGACUGUUUCAACAAGUCCACUCCUCCUAACCCUUCCCAAACAGUUCCGCAAGUAGGGACCAAAUAUCCAAACAUAUGAGCCUACGGUGGCCAUUCUCAUUCAAAGCACUACAGUGUAUAUGCAUAAAUAGCAAACGGAAGCUCGAGGGUCCUUUAAAGACUCCAUGGGGACAUUCAGGAUUUUGAGAUAAGAGUUUGUAUUGUCUGGUCAACUGGAGCCCAAGAGUUCGCUGUGAUUAACAAGAGACCAGCACCAGUGAAGUGAAACCUUUUGCCUUCCUGGAACGACUGAUGCAGGCCAGCUAGAGCUGAGAAGUUAGUGGUGACAAAGAAGAGACCAGCACCGUAAGUCUGGGAGCACAUUUCCUCAGAAUCAACACACAGAAUCUGGGAUCCAGAGGGUGGCUAAGGCUGCCUCUCCUGCCGGCAGCUGAACUUGGUACUAUAUACCAGCCGCUCAGGUGGUACUGGUUUUGAAAGCGUGACAUCAUCCUGGAGAGUAGCUGAGGCUUGGCACCUUGCGGCAGGACCGGCUGAGUUCUUAAAGACAGGGUGGGAGAUGCCACUGGUGAAGGUGCGGCCUCGGUUGCAGUAGAAGGCCGGGGAUUGAAGGGGUCAUGGAGAAGGCUGAGGCUUGGCACCGUGUGGCAGGGUCAGAGUCCCCAAAGAGAGCCUGGAAGGAGCUACCGGCGAAAGUGCAGCCCGGUGGCAGCCGGAAGCCCGAGCAUUUUAGAGGUGCAGGAGCCCUGGGACAGCCUCCAAGGAUAACGGCGGCUGUGGAACGGAGCCAGACUGAGCCCGCAGGACAAGCGAUGCCUGCUGCAGACGGCAGACCUAAGAAGUGGAACUUUGGAGGGUGGAGGACUGAGCCCGCAGUUAAGAGACUGGGUGUUUUAAUGAGAUUUCAGAAUUUCUGAGGGAGAUGGAAUAUUUAAAGAGACAGAACUUUUAAAAUGUGAAUUUUUAAAGACUGUGAGGCCUUUAAAAGGUGAGAUAUUUUAUGCUGUGGCGUUAAGCAUCUUGGGGACCAAUGAGAAAAGUUCUAGUUGAGAGGCGAAGUGUAUGUGUGUGACGUUGACAAGUGGCAGCUGGCCUGGCUAGUUUUGUGUCAGCUUGACAUGAGCUAUCGUCGUUUGGAAAAGGAAGCCUCUGGUAAAGAAACAUCUCCCCAGAUUGGCCUCUAAGCAAGUCUGCGGAGACAUUUUCUUUAUUGAUGAUUAAUGUGAGAGGGCCCAGUUCCCUGUCGGUGGUGCCACCCCAGAGCUGGUGGCUCCGGGUGGUGUAAGAAAGCAGGCCGAGCAAGCCACGAGAAGCAAGCCAGUACGCGACACUGCUCCAUGGACUCAGCCUCCGUCACUGUCUCCAGGUUUCUGCUUGGAAGUAUACGCUGAAAUAAACCCGUUCCUACCCAA